GGGGGUCAAGCUAGUCAUAGGCUGGGGGGUGAAUCUCAUAGAGAAGAGUUCUCUGUCCAGGGUUUCCCUGUUUCUUGCGUAGCCUUUGUAGUUUUAUUCUUAAGUGUCCCAUUUGCCCUUUCCACUUUCCCACUACUCUGGUGGUGGUAGGGAGUGUGGAAAGCCUGACUAAUCCCUAGAGCUUUCAUGAUUUCUGCAUUAUUUCCCAAGUAAAAUGGCUAUCUCUGUCACUUUCAAUCACCUCAGGUACCCCCUAUCUACAUACCAGUUCCUUCAGAAGCUUUCUUGCUGUGACCUUCGCUGUGGCUUUCGGCACUGGGUAGACCUCAGGCCAACCUGAAAAGAGAUCAACGCACACCAACACAUAUUCAUACACUCCUACCUUAGGUAGUUGAAUAUAGUCUAUCUACAGUCUACAGUCCGGGUAAAGUGGCCUUGGUGUAUGUUUAACUGGUGUCUAGACAGCCUGUCUGGGAUUGUUACUAGAAUAAAUCAUGCAAGCCUGGGUGUACUAAGCUGCUAUAACAAUAAACCCAGGUGCCACCCAAUGGGUAUUCACUAUACAGUUCAUGUUCAUCUUGGAUAAAUGUGUGGGUCCAUGGGCUAUUUGGGCCAUCAUAGGGUACAAUACUCGUGGUAGACAUAGUAUUUUACCUUUUCUCCAUAUUCUGUCAUCAUUGGGUUUUGCAUAAUUUUUCCUCCAGAGGUCCUG